GAUGAAGAACGCAGUGAAAUGCGAUAAGUAAUGUGAAUUGCAGAAUUCAGUGAAUCAUCGAAUCUUUGAACGCACAUUGCGCCCCUUGGUAUUCCGGGGGGCAUGCCUGUUCGAGCGUCAUUAUCACCCCUCAAGCUCAGCUUGGUGUUGGGGCCUGCUGCACUGGCAGCCCUUAAAAUCAGUGGCGGCGCCAUCUGGCUCUAAGCGUAGUAAUUCUUCUCGCUAUGGAGUCCUGGUGGAUGCUUGCCAUCAACCCCCAAUUUUUCUAUGGUUGACCUCGGAUCAGGUAGGGAUACCCGCUGAACUUAAGCAUAUCAAAAGCGGAGGA
rnacentral:misc_RNA from 1 species